AGGGAGGUUGCCUGGCUGCCUUGCAGGCUAAAGGCAGUAGGCACCCAUGACAGUGCAGUGUUGCAGGCAGAGACCCAGGGAGCUGAAGGCAGCUCCUGGCAGGCUGCAGGGAUCUGCAGGCUGAGGCUAUGAGGCCCAAAUCCUGUAGUUCGAACCAUGCAAGUAGACCCUCACACCCGUGGAGAGCUCAGAUUUCCCAUCCAUCAGGUGGCCUUCUGCUCUUAAUUUCUAUUAUGAUGAUCAGGAGCCUGCUUUCAAAGAACCAAUGGCUGAAGGGAACAAGGGAAUCUCCCAAAGCAGCAAAAAUGAAGUGGUUUCAUUGCUCUGUAAGAAAGCACCCAUAGAGCAGGCUCAAAAAAGGGAUUUGGCAGCUGCUGCACAUCCUGCACCAGCCCUCCAUGUCCCUGCCUGAAAGGGAGUUUGAGUGAGCGUGGGGGGAAGGACAGAGGCUUGCACACAAUGAUAUACCAGUGGCCCAAGGUGCAGCUCUUUUAACAAACUGUUUCUAAAGCAAUGACAUGGAAGUUUUAACAGCUGAAGUGCCACUUUGCCAUCAUAGAAUUGCAAAAGAAUUGAAGGUAUAAUACAGCAUGUGUGUGACAGGAUUAUCAGAAAGUAAUAGUUAAGGUUU